GACGAACGCUGGCGGCGUGCCUAAUACAUGCAAGUCGAGCGGACGGAUGGGAGCUUGCUCCCAGACCGUCAGCGGCGGACGGGUGAGUAACACGUGGGCACCCUGCCUGUAAGACUGGGAUAACUCCGGGAAACCGGGGCUCAUACCGGAUAACUCUUUCCCUCACAUGAGGGAAAGCUGAAAGAUGGCCUCUCGCUAUCACUUACAGAUGGGCCCGCGGCGCAUUAGCUAGUUGGUGAGGUAACGGCUCACCAAGGCGACGAUGCGUAGCCGACCUGAGAGGGUGAUCGGCCACACUGGAACUGAGACACGGCCCAGACUCCUACGGGAGGCAGCAGUAGGGAAUCUUCCGCAAUGGGCGAAAGUCUGACGGAGCAACGCCGCGUGAGUGAUGAAGGUUUUCGGAUCGUAAAACUCUGUUGUCAGGGAAGAACAAGUACCGGAGUAACUGCCGGUACCUUGACGGUACCUGACCAGAAAGCCACGGCUAACUACGUG
rnacentral:rRNA from 1 species